rnacentral:lncRNA from 1 species
AUCUCUAUUUUUUUAAAGGGAUAUUUGCCUAUAUAUCCUUCAAAACUUUAAAAUAUCUCAUUUAUCCCUACUUUUUUUUUUUUUCCUUUAUAAUAUUCAUCUCAUAUUCCAUUAUUCCAAAAUACCUUACCACCUUUUAAGUUAACUUGAAUUAAACGUGAGUUAAAUAUCUAACAGAGUUAAAAAAAAAAAAAUCAAAAUAUCUCUUCUACCCUUAACUUAAAAAUAAAUAAAAAAUAUUGGUGAUGAUAGAAAACUAUAUCUGAAAGAUCAAAAAGUAAAAUACUUUUUGUGCUCCUAACUUAAGGGUAAAUACACCUGUUAAGUUAACUUGAAUUAAACGUGAGUUAAAUAUCUAACAGAGUUAAAAAAAAAAAUCAAAAUACCUCUUCUACCCUUAACUUAAAAAUAAAUAAAAAAUAUUGGUGAUGAUAGAAAAAUAUAUCUGAAAGACCAAAAAGUAAAAUACUUUUUGUACUCCUAACUUAAGGGCAAAUAAGAAAAGUCGGUGAUGAUAGAAAUGUAUAUUUGAAAGGACAAAAUAGUAAUUUUAUAGAGAUGACAACUAUUCCUAAUAGAUUUUAACUUUAGUAGUAUAUUUAAAAUAGGUUGAACGUAAAAAGAAUAUUUUUAAUAUUAGCGUUAUAAGAGGGGGUAAAUUAAAAAGUCGGAAAUUUUUCAGGGGUAUAUAAAUAAUUGCUCUUUUCUUAAAAAAUCACUUAAUUCGAAAAAAAAAAAGAAAAA